UGACAAAACUCUUAUAUAAUUAUUUUUAUGAGUAUAUAGAUACACGUUUAAAUGCAUUACAUUAACAUACAUUCGUAAUCAAAUUUAAAUUUGUGGCAAAGACGUUUUAGACACCAGGAAGUGUAGAGUUACUUUUACUUUCUUUCUCUGACAAAAACAGCAAAAUGUGAUCGUUUACCUGUUUGAAGUGAGGGCUCACAGAGAAGAAAAACACAAAGAAGAGCAAAACUCGCGGUCGGGACAGUCGUACCCAUGGCUGGAAAGAUUUUAAUUCUCUGUAAACUAUCCUGAUAUUUACUGAAGUCUGAAUACAACUGCGCAACAACCGAACACAGAAACAGUCUGCUGUGAGAAGAUGGCGGAUGAUGCUGACAACUAAUUUCCUCAGGAAGUUGCUAAAGGCAGAUACCUAUUUUUUUUUUAUUGU